GAUGAACGCUGGCGGCAUGCCUAACACAUGCAAGUCGAUCGGUAAGGCUCUUCGGAGUACACGAGAGGCGGACGGCUGAGUAACGCGUAGGAACACACCCUGCAGUGAGGGAUAAGACACCGAAAGGUGUUCUAAUACCGCAUACGGUCUUCGGAUUAAAGCAUUUAUGCGCUGAAGGAGUGGCCUGCGUCAUAUUAGAUAGUUGGUGAGGUAAUGGCUCACCAAGUCGAUGAUGUGUAGCUGGUCUGAGGGGAUGAUCAGCCAGACUGGAACUGAGACACGGUCCAGACUCCUACGGGAGGCAGCAGUGAGGAAUAUUUCACAAUGAGCGAAAGCUUGAUGGAGCAAUGCCGCGUGCAGGAUGAAGGCCCUCGGGUUGUAAACUGCUUUUAUAAGAGAAGAUUAUGACGGUAACUUAUGAAUAAGAGACGGCUAACUACGUG
rnacentral:rRNA from 1 species